GUUUGCAGUAGCAGGCAUUUCCCUCACAGCUGCCUUUCAGCAGAAAGUCCUUGACCAGCUGUAGGAGAAAGCGAGCUCCAGCCAAUGCCCUGUGCGAUCGUUCAAGCGAUUUCCCCCAGGGCACUGCAGGAUUUAAGAGAAGAGGUGAAUGAUGUGUAGAGAUGGACAGACACAAAGAUGCAGAAGAGGCUGCUCUCCAUGAGGAGACGGCCUCACCAUGAUCUUUGUAGCCACCACUGCAGAGAGCAUCACCGUGGGCAGGUCUCAGAGAGGAUGAUGAGAUGCCAGCGGGAGGCCUUCUUUCAGGAGCUGGACCAACACGAGAGGCUUGCUGCGAGCUGGGGUGGACGGUGGAGGCAGAAGAGCUGUGGGAUCCCAAGGAAGAGCUGCGGCUUCUGGAGGCAACAACCAGCCCUAGGAGUCAGCUCUUACUCACGCCGCCUCCGUGGAAAAUAUAAGAACGGGGUUGGUAAUCUGGCUGUGACUAAGGAGGGGAACAUCCCCGCUGCUGUCGGUGUGGCCAGGAUUUCCCUCCACCAGCUCUGCGAUGCUGAGGAUACCGGCCCACCAGCAGCUGUGUCUGGCCUGGGAAGAUGAUCUUGGUGCUUCUGUGACCCCACAAGAUCCCAGGGGAUGGGCUGGAGGGGCUGCAGCGAUCCCACCAUGCAGGGCACCAGCACAGGGCUCUCUUGACAGGACCUCACCAGGACCCAUUCCUCUGCAGCAUCGCUCUGCAAGUAUCCUGCAGGUCUGUCCCGAAUCCUGCUCAUUAGAAAGAAAUCCACCCCCAGGAGCUGCGAAAGCCCCAGCAAUGUUGUGAAAGAUACCAGGGGCACUUGGGGCCAGCUGCACGGCCCUCACGGAGCAGGGAAAUGUUCCUGCCGGUGCCGGUCGCUGAGUCUUCACAUUCCAGCCCCGUGCUCGGAGGAACAAAACCUCUUAGCUCUGCACUUACUGGAGACAAGCUCGAAGUCGUCUGGAGUCAGGCGUUGUAAAAAUUUAAUGAUGCGGGACAAAUCGGGGUGACCAAAAUAGCCAUCGGGACAGAGACUGCCUUGUGAUGUAGCGCACCCAGCCAGGUCUCGG
rnacentral:lncRNA from 1 species